rnacentral:sRNA from 1 species
GUGUACACUUAAAGCGUUCUGGGAAUAUGAAUCCCUUCUGCACCCUGGAAUCACCAGUCCAGCCAUGCAUGGAGCUGGGGAAAGCAGGCCCUGAAUUGUCUAGAGAGACUUGGUGGAGGAGGCCACGGCCCGCCUUGUCCCUGCCGGGUCCCAGCCAGGAACAACUGGAUGUUGUAAAUGUUUCUCAUCUGGCCUUAAAAUCCAUGAAAGCUGGAAAAUCACAAGGCAUCUGUGCACAUACUGGUGGAUUUUAAUGAGAGUCCUGUGUUUGGAGCACCAGAAAUAAACCAGCUUCAGAAGCAAAGGAGGAGGAAGCAGAGCUAGAGAUGGAAGGAGACCCAGCCAGCCCGGGCUCCAGUGACAUCGGCUGGUACACGCUUUUGUUUGCUUACGCUUGUUGAACUGAGUUUUUCAUAUGUAACUAACGAAUAGUGGCACAUGUGAGACUGGGCAUGAUUCAGAAAAGUUGGAAGAUCUAGAGAGGGAUCUUGCAAUCUGAAGUUUCUUGUUUAGUCACUGGAGGUGAGCCCGAGAAUUUGCAUUUCUGACAAGAUCCCAGGUGAGGCUCACUCGUGCUGCUGGCUUUGGGAUCACACUUAACUACCGGAUCUGAACGUCUAUGACACUCUUUCGAGCUGACACAGUGAAGAACAUGGAAGGAGAACUCACCCAGUCUGCCAGGGUCACAGAUGAUCAUACUCAAGAUCUUCCUGGGGAGUCAAUGGCAAAUUUCACUGGGCUAUUUUACAGAUGAAGAAGGAACAUAAAGAAGGUUCUGGGACCCU